AUUGAACGCUGGCGGCAUGCCUUACACAUGCAAGUCGAACGGUAACAGGUCUUCGGAUGCUGACGAGUGGCGAACGGGUGAGUAAUACAUCGGAACGUGCCUAGUAGUGGGGGAUAACUACUCGAAAGAGUGGCUAAUACCGCAUGAGAUCUACGGAUGAAAGCAGGGGAUCGCAAGACCUUGUGCUACUAGAGCGGCCGAUGGCAGAUUAGGUAGUUGGUGGGAUAAAAGCUUACCAAGCCGACGAUCUGUAGCUGGUCUGAGAGGACGCUCCGCCACACUGGGACUGAGACACGGCCCAGACUCCUACGGGAGGCAGCAGUGGGGAAUUUUGGACAAUGGGCGCAAGCCUGAUCCAGCAAUGCCGCGUGCAGGAUGAAGGCCUUCGGGUUGUAAACUGCUUUUGUACGGAACGAAAAGCCCUGGGUUAAUACCCUGGGGUCAUGACGGUACCGUAAGAAUAAGUACCGGCUAACUACGUGCCAGCCGCCGCGGUAAUAC
rnacentral:rRNA from 1 species